GGAUAGGACCACGGGAUGCAUGUCUUGUGGUGGAAAGCGCUUUAGCGGUGUGGGAUGAGCCCGCGGCCUAUCAGCUUGUUGGUGGGGUGACGGCCUACCAAGGCGACGACGGGUAGCCGGCCUGAGAGGGUGUCCGGCCACACUGGGACUGAGAUACGGCCCAGACUCCUACGGGAGGCAGCAGUGGGGAAUAUUGCACAAUGGGCGCAAGCCUGAUGCAGCGACGCCGCGUGGGGGAUGACGGCCUUCGGGUUGUAAACCUCUUUCACCAUCGACGAAGGUCCGGGUUCUCUCGGAUUGACGGUAGGUGGAGAAGAAGCACCGGCCAACUACGUGCCAGCAGCCGCGGUAAUACGUAGGGUGCGAGCGUUGUCCGGAAUUACUGGGCGUAAAGAGCUCGUAGGUGGUUUGUCGCGUUGUUCGUGAAAUCUCACGGCUUAACUGUGAGCGUGCGGGCGAUACGGGCAGACUAGAGUACUGCAGG
rnacentral:rRNA from 1 species